UGGGGAAUAUUGCACAAUGGGCGCAAGCCUGAUGCAGCCAUGCCGCGUGUGUGAAGAAGGCCUUCGGGUUGUAAAGCACUUUGUCCGGAAAGAAAUCCUUGGCUCUAAUACAGUCGGGGGAUGACGGUACCGGAAGAAUAAGCACCGGCUAACUACGUGCCAGCAGCCGCGGUAAUACGUAGGGUGCAAGCGUUAAUCGGAAUUACUGGGCGUAAAGCGUGCGCAGGCGGUUUGCUAAGACCGAUGUGAAAUCCCCGGGCUCAACCUGGGAACUGCAUUGGUGACUGGCAGGCUAGAGUAUGGCAGAGGGGGGUAGAAUUCCACGUGUAGCAGUGAAAUGCGUAGAGAUGUGGAGGAAUACCGAUGGCGAAGGCAGCCCCCUGGGCCAAUACUGACGCUCAUGCACGAAAGCGUGGGGAGCAAACAGGAUUAGAUACCCUGGUAGUCCACGCCCUAAACGAUGUCAACUAGUUGUUGGGGAUUCAUUUCCUUAGUAACGUAGCUAACGCGUGAAGUUGACCGCCUGGGGAGUACGGUCGCAAGAUU
rnacentral:rRNA from 1 species